rnacentral:rRNA from 1 species
UUGAAAGGGAAACGAUUGAAGUCAGUCGUACCGACGAGAAAUCAGCUUUUCGAAUGUGCAUUUGUGGGCGUAUGAGAUCUUCAUUGUUUGCAAUAUGUAUGUUUCUUUGGUGUACUUUUUCGUAUGGUAGGUCAAUGUCGGUUUUGAUCGCCAUAAAAUGAUCGGAGGAAUGUAGCUUCGGCCUCGGUUGAAGUGUUAUAGCCUUUGGUAAAUGUGGUGAUUAAGACCGUGGAUUGCAACGAAUACCUUUUAGGCUAUCCGUCUGACCUCUGAAAGUUACUUAGGUGCCGAAAGCUUGCUUACGGUCAUUUAAGUUGACGGUCAAUAGGUUAGAACGUGAUUACAUUCGUUAAGGAUGUUGACGUA